rnacentral:rRNA from 1 species
ACCUACGGGGGGCAGCAGUAGGGAAUUUUCGUCAAUGGGCGCAAGCCUGAACGAGCAAUGCCGCGUGAACGAGGAAGGUCUUCGGAUCGUAAAGUUCUGUUGAAGGGGAAAAAGAGCGGAGAGAGGAAAUGGUCUCCGAUUGAUAUUACCCUUCGAGGAAGUCACGGCUAACUACGUGCCAGCAGCCGCGGUAAUACGUAGGUGGCGAGCGUUAUCCGGAAUGAUUGGGCGUAAAGGGUGCGUAGGCGGUCUGCUAAGUCUGGAGUGAAAGGUACCGGCUCAACCGGUACAGGCUCUGGAAACUG